rnacentral:rRNA from 1 species
UACAGAGGGUGCAAGCGUUGUUCGGAAUUAUUGGGCGUAAAGAGCGUGUAGGCGGCUUUACAGGUCCGUUGUGAAAACUCGAGGCUCAACCUCGAGACGCCGGUGGAAACCGUAAAGCUAGAGUCCGGAAGAGGAGAGUGGAAUUCCUGGUGUAGCGGUGAAAUGCGCAGAUAUCAGGAGGAACACCCGUGGCGAAAGCGGCUCUCUGGGACGGUACUGACGCUGAGACGCGAAAGCGUGGGGAGCAAACAGG